AGCAGCCGCGGUAAUUCCAGCUCCAAUAGCGUAUAUUAAAGUUGUUGCAGUUAAAAAGCUCGUAGUUGAAUUUCGGGGUUAGUAGAUUGGUCAUGCCAUCGGUAUGUACUGGUCUCACUGAUUCCUCCUUCCUGAUGAGCCGUAAUGCCAUUAAUUUGGUGUUGCGGGGAAUUUGGACUGUUACUUUGAAAAAAUUAGAGUGUUUAAAGCAAGCUAACGCUUGAAUACAUUAGCAUGGAAUAAUGAAAUAGGACGUUCGAUCCUAUUUUGUUGGUUUCUAGGAUUGACGUAAUGAUUAAUAGGGAUAGUUGGGGGCAUUAGUAUUCAAUUGUCAGAGGUGAAAUUCUUGGAUUUAUUGAAGACUAACUACUGCGAAAGCAUUUGCCAAGAAUGUUUUCAUUAAUCAAGAACGAAAGUUAGGGGAUCGAAGACGAUCAGAUACCGUCGUAGUCUUAACCAUAAACUAUGCCGACUAGGGAUCGGAUGAUGUUAAUUUUUUAAUGACUCAUUCGGCGCCUUACG
rnacentral:rRNA from 1 species